AAUGUAAUUUUAAAAACUUGAGUAUUAAUAGUUAUAUUCUUUAAACUUAAAAAAUUUGGCGGUAUUUUAGUCUAUUCAGAGGAACCUGUUUUUUAAUCGAUAUUCCGCGUUGGACCUUACUUAAUUUUAUAGAUUAGUUUGUAUACCGUUGUUAUAGAAAAUUUUGUAAGGAAAAUAAUUUUCAAUAAAUUUUAUUAAAUUUAAUAUCAAAUCAAGGUGCAGCAUAUAAUUAAGAUAAUAAUGGGUUACAAUAAAAUAAUUUAUAUGGAAAUAAUAAUGCAAAAAUUAUUAAAAGUGGAUUUGAAAGUAAAAUUAUAAAGAUUAGUAGUUUGAUUUUAGCUCU
rnacentral:rRNA from 1 species